rfam:Schistosoma mattheei strain Denwood, Zambia genome assembly, scaffold: SMTD_scaffold0031009
AGCUUUUCGAAUCCGUGCUGAGAUUUCGUCAAACACCGACCCAUCAGGGCUGGUCAGACUCCCAAGAUAAGUGAAGUU